rnacentral:sRNA from 1 species
UAACACGUGCAUCACGGCUCCAAGGUCC